UACGAGGGGUGCAAGCGUUAUUCGGAUUCAUUGGGCGUAAAGGGUGCGUAGACGGCUUAUUAAGUCAACUGUUAAAUUCUCCGGCCUAACUGGAGAUCUGCGGUAGAAACUGAUAGGAUUGAGGGUGGAAGAGAGAAGUGGAAUUCUCGGAGUAGCGGUAAAAUGCGUAGAUCUCGAGAGGAACACCGAUGGCGAAGGCAGCUUCUUGGUCCAGCACCGACGUUCAGGCACGAAAGCGUGGGGAGCAAACAGG
rnacentral:rRNA from 1 species